rnacentral:lncRNA from 1 species
GUCAGUCAGCUGUGCUCCUUGCAAAAGUUUCCCUUGAAGGCAGACCCAAAUGGGCACCUCCAUGGCUGCCACAAGACACUGGAUAUUUUCAUGUUUGUAUGCUGAGAAGCACUUGGAUUCUGAGGCCAUACUCCGGCCAGGAGGAAGGGCCACAAUCAAUUCCUGGCAUUAUCAUGUGGCAGGAAUCACGUACGCUCCUGCUGCAGUUUCUUACAGCUUCCCACCUCCUUCCAACCAGCUUCAACCAUGGCCGUGAAAUACAUCACUUAAAAUGGAAAGGGAGGAGACACUUCCCAACGAUGCAGAAAUGGACACCAAGCCCCUUAAAGGCAAAAUCAUGACUCAGUCAUCAUAGUUCCCUACUUUGACCUGGCCUAGCGUUGGCAUGAAGAAGGAUCUUAUUAAAUGACUGAUGAGCUGAACUGAACAGAAGGGCCCAGAGCGGGAGCAUGGAGCUACCAUCAUUGAGAGACAACUGACUGCCCAAAGCAAGAAGCAGCAGACACACACGGAGCAAGGAAGGUGAGGGCCCAGGAGCAGCAGAUCUGUGUGAGGAGCCCUGAAAAAAAGUGGGCACCCUGGAAAUAUUUAAAAUCCACACCCCUGCAGUACCCACCUCCUGGUAGGGAGUCAGACUGAGGCUUGUGGAGGCCCCUCCUGAUAAUGACAGGGUCACCUGGGGCCCUAUGGGAGCCCUGGUUCAUGAAAUUACAAACGUCCCUGCCUUUCACAGUGUCUCCCCCAAAAAUGCUACCAGUAUUUUCUUCUCUUAAAU